rnacentral:misc_RNA from 1 species
CUGGAACACCUCCUUUCUGGAGAGACGAAUUUCCCGUGAAGAUAUAGGAACAAGACUUAAAAGUUCGCCUCUCUUCUUGUACGCACCAUCUGUUUAAUUAAAUACAGGAGACUGGGAUUCCUUAUACAUUAUAUAAUAUAUAGGGAUGGCUCAAGCAAAAUGGUUCAACUCCACAAUCUCCACUAUGCCUUUCAAGGCAAGAAGAUCUUUGACAUAUUGACACAAGCAAAACUGUAAGUAAUGAACUUUAGUUCAGACUAAAGUGAAUCAAACCGCAAGAUGAGAUUUCACAAGUUAGAAUACAGCUGAAAGUAUGAGCUACUUAUUCGUUAUUCGGAAACGAGUAACAAGAAUACAGUCGUAAAGAAAGUAAGAAAGGGCGCAUGGCGGAUGCCU